CGUAAAGGUGCAUGAGUGGUGUUUGGUUUGAUACUGGUGGUUGGCUCUUUGCUUGUGCAACAACUUCCACCAGACAUACCUUUUCAUUUGUCUGUUAAGGCUUCUAUUGCCAAAACAGAUUGUGGGUUUCCUGUGUUGCCUACCUAUCAUGAGGUACUUUUGUUGGCCGGUAUAAGUUCUUUCGUCUUGUCUUGUACUUUAUGAGAUUGGAUGAACCAUAAAGGCAACUCCUUGAACCACUCAUCUGAUGCUUGUCUGGUGAUGUGGUACAUUGGUAAUUGCUUGGUAUCUUUGGUAUGGAAACUGAUGUGGGCAUGGGUUUCGUGAGUUCCUUUUAUGUCCUGGUUUAGUGUUUAUGCUUCUCGUAAACGACUGCUCAGCUCGCAUUGGCUUGUGCCAGGGUGUUGGGUUAUGUCAAAGAGGAAAGU
rnacentral:misc_RNA from 1 species